UCGUAACAAGGUUUCCGUAGGUGAACCUGCGGAAGGAUCAUUACUGAUUUGCUUAAUUGCACCACAUGUGUUUUUCUUUGAAACAAACUUGCUUUGGCGGUGGGCCCAGCCUGCCGCCAGAGGUCUAAACUUACAACCAAUUUUUUAUCAACUUGUCACACCAGAUUAUUACUAAUAGUCAAAACUUUCAACAACGGAUCUCUUGGUUCUCGCAUCGAUGAAGAACGCAGCGAAAUGCGAUACGUAAUAUGAAUUGCAGAUAUUCGUGAAUCAUCGAAUCUUUGAACGCACAUUGCGCCCUCUGGUAUUCCGGAGGGCAUGCCUGUUUGAGCGUCGUUUCUCCCUCAAACCGCUGGGUUUGGUGUUGAGCAAUACGACUUGGGUUUGCUUGAAAGACGGUAGUGGUAAGGCGGGAUCGCUUUGACAAUGGCUUAGGUCUAACCAAAAACAUUGCUUGCGGCGGUAACGUCUACUACGUAUAUCUUCAAACUUUGACCUCAAAUCAGGUAGGACUACCCGCUGAACUUAAGCAUAUC
rnacentral:misc_RNA from 1 species